rnacentral:rRNA from 1 species
AGCUCCAAUAGCGUAUAUUAAAGUUGUUGCAGUUAAAAAGCUCGUAGUUGGAUUUCUGGUUACUUUAGCCUGGUCCGCCCGGUUAACGGUGUGAGUACUGGCGCUAAUGGGCCAUCCUUCUGGGGAGUGUAUCUACCCUUGAUUGGGCCGGAUGCUCGACCUGGAUCGUUUACUUUGAAGAAAUUAGAGUGUUUAAAGCAGGCUUAUCGCUUUGAAUAUAUUAGCAUGGAAUAAUAUGAUAGGGCUUUGAUCCUAUUUUGUUGGUUUCUGGGAUUAAAGUAAUGAUUAAUAGGGACAGUUGGGGGUGCUGGUAUUUAACGGCCAGAGGUGAAAUUCUUGGAUUCGUUAAAGACCAACUUAUGCGAAAGCAUUCACCAAGGAUGUUUUCAUUAAUCAAGAA